rnacentral:rRNA from 1 species
AACGCGAAGAACCUUACCUGGGCUUGACAUAUACCGAGUAGGGUACGGAGACGUACCCGACCGCAAGGAGGGUAUACAGGUGCUGCAUGGCUGUCGUCAGCUCGUGCCGUGAGGUGUAGGGUUAAGUCCUGAAACGAGCGCAACCCUCGGCGUUAGUUAGACAGUCUAACGCGACUGCCCGCGACAAGCGGGAGGAAGGCGGGGAUGACGUCAAGUCAGCAUGGCCUUUAUGUCCAGGGCUACACACACGCUACAAUGGUCGGUACAGUCGGUUGCCAACCCGCAAGGGGGAGCCAAUCCACAAAGCCGGCCUCAGUUCAGAUUGUGGGCUGCAACCCGCCCACAUGAAGUCGGAGUUGCUAGUAACCGCGCGUCAGCAUAGUGCGGUGAAUACGUUCCCGGGCCUUGUACACACCGAUACUC